CGAGUGCCCCGAGCGUUAUCCGGAAUCAUUGGGCGUAAAGGGUGUGUAGGUGGUCAGAUUAGUCUUGUGUUAAAUUCUUCGGCUUAACCGGGGGCAUGCAUAGGAAACGGUCUGACUUGAGGAUGCGAGAGGUGUGUGGAGCUCAUGGUGUAGGGGUGAAAUCCGUUGAUAUCAUGGGGAACACCAAAAGCGAAGGCAGCACACUGGCGCAUUCCUGACACUGAAACACUAAAGCGUGGGUAGCGAAUGGGAUUAGAUACCCCAGUAGUCCACGCCCUAAACGAUGUUCAUUAGGUUUUCGGAGUAUCGACCCUCUGAGAGCCGAAGCUAACGCAUUAAAUGAACCGCCUGGGUAGUACGGCCGCAAGGCUA
rnacentral:rRNA from 1 species